UCUGGGGAUUUGGAGCCUCUCCUCAGUCUCCUCCCAACCCUGUUCCCCUCAUUGCCAAGUUAGCUGGAAUUUCUGCACAGGGAAUUUUCUUCUCACGUGGGCUCGUAGGCAGGGUGACUGAGGAAGAUCUUUCUGAUAAAUAUUAACCUUUAUAAGUGUGGCCAAACAAACAGCCUGGCAUGUGAGUCCUGCUGGGCUUCCAGGAACUGGGCUUUGCUGGAAAAGCCAGGAUGGGCACUGCACAGAGAGCACUCUCAAACCACCUGUGGCUUCAUCACAAGGUAUUUCACCUUUUCAGCUAAUUAACAUUAAGAGGAUGAAAAUCCCUUUUGGUUUCCCCUGAAGUUUCCAAAGCCCAGAGAGAGAAGAGGAAGAGUUGGCAGCGUGAGCUUCUUCCUGAUGAUUUGAAAGACUCUUUCCUCAUAAACUGUGGCAGAGGAGAGCACACAGUAAGAUCUAAAAGUAGAUGCAGUGAUAUCCCAGGAUGACUCAGAUAUUUAGUACACAGAAGAUAAUUUUCCAAAUGCUACAAGCACUAUAUAAAAAGCCAAGCCCGUGCUGCUCUCCACGUCAGGAUUCCCCCUGCUGUUAGAUGCUUAAACCCAGAUAAAAUCCCACAAAACCACUGGCUGGUUUAAAGUGCUGAGGUGGGUUAGGUCAGUGCCAUGGGCUCCUUGGCCACCUGUAACCACAGCCAGGUGUGGCAAUGACUCAGGCUGGUGGUGGUGAUGCCUCAAACCCUGCAGGAUUGGCAGCAGGAGCUGACAUGCUCCCAACCUGCUCGCUGCAGGAGCAGCUGGGACACGUCUCUCCUCAUCCCAGGAGAGCUGGCCCAGCUGUAAAGCUUGGAAUGAGGUCCGGGAAUUACUAACGUGAAUGGAAGGAGUCAGAGGGAGUUUUUAUAGUGAGGUCACAUAGCUGGCUCAUGCCAGGGGUGGAGAGCCAGGAUUGAUAGAGGAAAGAAAGCGGGGGAAUUUCUGAGGUGUGCAGAGAGCUGUGAGGGGAUGAAACCAGGGCAAGUGCACAAUUCAUCUUGUUGAAACAGCCUGCAGCCCUCCUGGCCCGAGGCUGCCAACUUGUCACGCACAAGGCAGGUAAAUUCAAUCUUCUGCCUGCAGAUUUUGCCACCCUCCCGUGUUGCUCAGCAGCUGACAAUGGGCUGACCCCUCCAGGUUCUGUGGGAGAGUGCUCAGGGAGUGCUAAUGCACACCAAACUUGUUUGCAUUCUCCCAUCAUUAUUCCAGAGGUGGCAAUUUUAUCAUAUUUUGAAGCACACUUCUGUUUUCCCACUGAUGGUAAUAUUUUCCUUUCUGGCUGUAAAUCUGUGUGAUGUGCCCAGCCUGUCCCUGCUGGGACUCAUCCCUCACAGCAGUCACCCAACAGUGGGACCAAAUUUCCUGGUGCCAGGGCCAGAGGGGGACAGUGCCAGCCCUGUUGGAGAAGCAGAGGUGAGCCUGAGGAAGUCAAUCCUGCCCUAGAGCAGGAGCAGAGGGGGCUGAGAUGUGCAGGGCAGAGAACAGGGAUGUUGGGACAUCUUUUCCCACAGGGUCUCACCUGAUUCCCUGCCUUCAUUUCUACCCCUCCUCAAUUUAUAAUUUUUAUUCCUUUCUGUGUUCAAGGAGCUUCCUAAGAAUGGAAAGUCUACAAAAGCAAGCAAGAGAAGGCACAGCAGGUGACCUGUCCCAGAUGGAGCCAGGAGGACACGGGGGAACUGAGGAGCCCCAGGAUGAGCUGGUGUCACUUUGGCCAGGACCCGUUCCCAGACUCAGGAUCCAGUCCCUGACUCUGCUGGUGGUGGAGAAAAUCCUGUUAAAUCCAGGUCCUGAACUUCUGUGAGUCUGCCAGGAGGCUGCUGGGAACAACAACACAAAUCAUAACCCCCCAGUAAAUCAGUGGAUUACCUUCCCCACAUAAAUCACAGUGUCACCACAAAAAUCUUACAGUUACAACAAAAGCAAACCUGCUCAACUAAAGUCUGGACUUGCACUUCCCUGAGCACUCAGUGUUCAUUUUUCCCUCAGAAGCCUUGGACAAGCCAUUUAAGCACUUCAGCUGGCCACCAGCUCACCUUCCCUCCUCUCUGCAAAGACAUUUUGGACCUUCAACAAGUCUCAAAUAUGUGUUUGGAACCUUCAGUCAGGCCCACAUACAUGUUUUGGACAAAUGUUUACACAAAUG